UACGUAGGGGCAAGCGUUGUCCGGAUUUAUUGGGCGUAAAGAGCUCGUUAGGCGGUUCGAUAAGUCGGACGUGAAAUCUCCACGCUCAACGUGGAGGGGCCGUUCGAUACUGUCGUGACUCGAGUCCGGUAGGGAGUGUGGAAUUCCAGGUGUAGCGGUGAAAUGCGUAGAUAUCGAGAGGAACACCGGUGGCGAAGGCGGCAUCCUGGACCGGUAUUGACGCUGAGGAGCGAAAGCCAGGGAGCAAACGGG
rnacentral:rRNA from 1 species